GAAAUGAGAUGUUUUCAAAUUCCAGCAUGCUCUUGUAUCUCCAGUGUCCAGCCAGUGCUGUCAACCCCGGUUCAUCGUUGUCAUUUCUGGAGAAGUUCUGCCAAGAUAUUUCAGCUCAGGAUGGGUAUUUGCUCAGUUUCAUGAACCAGAAGUCGCCCAGUUCUUUGCAACAUUUGGCGCUAACCUCACAAUUGCAUGGAUGGAAGACAAUAGGAGCUCGGUAAAGCUUCCAUGAAGCGGAGAGAGCUUGAAUGGUCUGAAGUAAAAAGCAGUCUUGCUCAGUAAUUAACGGCUUCACAGAUCCCAUGUUCUUUGGAUGUGAGUGACAAUGGACGAUUGGAGAAAAAGACAAGCAUCUGGGCGGAGCAGCGAGGGCAAUUAGCGUCACCUCUGCUGUAC